rnacentral:rRNA from 1 species
GAGAAGGGCGUUUGGUGGAUGCCUUGGCAGUAAGAGGCGAUGAAGGACGUGAUACUCUGCGAUAAGCUUGGGGGAGCCGAGAAUAGGCUUUGAUCCCAGGAUCUCCGAAUGGGGGAACCCACCUGACAGUUUGUUAUUGUUAGCUUCGCUAUCAAUAAUAAGCUUAAUCAGGUACUUAAGACCUGAAUACAUAGGGUUUUAAGAGCAAACCCGGGGAACUGAAACAUCUAAGUACCCGGAGGAAAGGAAAUCAAUAUGAUACUCCCCUAGUAGCGGCGAGCGAACGGGGACCAGCCGAGCCUUGAGUGUGAAUAGAAUGUGUUGGGAAGCACAGCCAGAGUGGGUGAUAGCCCCGUAUAUGAAGCAUGAUAGGACGUAUUAAGUAGGGCGGGACACGUGAAAUCCUGUCUGAAGAUCGG